CCUACGGGGGGCAGCAGUGGGGAAUAUUGCACAAUGGGCGCAAGCCUGAUGCAGCCAUGCCGCGUGUGUGAAGAAGGCCUUCGGGUUGUAAAGCACUUUCAGCGGGGAGGAAGGCGGUGAGGUCAAUAACCUCAUCGAUUGACGUUACCCGCAGAAGAAGCACCGGCUAACUCCGUGCCAGCAGCCGCGGUAAUACGGAGGGUGCAAGCGUUAAUCGGAAUUACUGGGCGUAAAGCGCACGCAGGCGGUCUGUCAAGUCGGAUGUGAAAUCCCCGGGCUCAACCUGGGAACUGCAUUCGAAACUGGCAGGCUAGAGUCUUGUAGAGGGGGGUAGAAUUCCAGGUGUAGCGGUGAAAUGCGUAGAGAUCUGGAGGAAUACCGGUGGCGAAGGCGGCCCCCUGGACAAAGACUGACGCUCAGGUGCGAAAGCGUGGGGAGCAAACAGGAUUAGAUACCCGUGUAGUC
rnacentral:rRNA from 1 species